UACAGAGGUCUCAAGCGUUGUUCGGAUUCAUUGGGCGUAAAGGGUGCGUAGGUGGCGCGUUAAGUCCGUUGUGAAAGCCCUGGGCUCAACCCAGGAACUGCUUCGGAUACUGGCGCGCUUGAGGCUAGUAGGGGUCACUGGAACUGACGGUGGAGCGGUGAAAUGCGUAGAUAUCGUCAGGAACGCCAAUGGUGAAGACAGGUGACUGGGCUAGUUCUGACACUGAGGCACGAAAGCGUGGGGAGCGAACGGG
rnacentral:rRNA from 1 species